UCCCUUAUAGCUCAGCUGGUAAAGAAUCUGCCUGCAAUGCAGGAGACCUGGGUUCAAUCCCUGGGUUGGGAA
rnacentral:tRNA from 1 species